GACAUCUUUAAAAAAUCAUCCGGUCAGUGCCACUUGACGCGCCUUUCUGUUUUCCAUUAUUUGAUAACAACUACGCGUGACUGAUAAUGCAAAACAGGGUGUUGCACUACAUUGAUAAUUAGCUUUUCGUGAGGAGAGGUUUAGAAAUACAGGAACAAUUUUCCAUCGUGUCAACAUGACACAGAGGAGUCAAGGAAUUUUGAAACAGUUCCACAAUUGUCGGAUUGUACGUAAUGGCAAAAUCUGGCUCGAGGACCUAUGGGUACGCGAUGGCAAAAUCGUCGAUCCGGAAAAAAUCUUCUUCGACGAAAAAAUAAAACCGGAUAUUCGAAUUGACUGUGACGGAGCAAUAAUUUCACCUGGAUAUAUUGAUCUUCAAAUUAAUGGUGGCUUCGGUGUAGAUUUCACACACAAUGUCGACACAGUACAAGAAGGACUAGAUAAGGUAUCAAAAAAAUUAUUGGAAUUUGGUGUGACAUCGUUUUGUCCAACACUGGUAACAUCACCCAGUAAGACGUAUCAUGAAAUACUGCCAAAAAUGAAGAGGAAAAAUGGUGGAAUGCAAGGAGCAUCUAUUUUGGGUAUUCACUUGGAAGGACCAUUUAUUAGUCCUUUGAAAAAAGGUGCUCAUCCAGAAAAUUAUAUUAAAACCUUAGAAAAGGGUUUCGAGUCCUUACUCAAUAUGUAUGGAACUUUAGAGAAUGUAUCCCUGGUUACUUUGGCUCCAGAACUUCCCAAUGUUCAAAGCGUCAUUGAAGAAUUAUGUAAACAGAACAUUAGGGUUUCUCUUGGACACUCUGUAGGCAACUUACAUGAAGGUGAAGCUGCUGUGAAAAGUGGGGCUUCGUUUAUCACCCAUCUUUUCAAUGCAAUGUUACCGUUCCAUCAUAGAGAUCCAGGGCUAGUUGGACUUCUAACUUCCAACAAAAUUCCAGAAGGAAGGAACAUUCAUUAUGGUAUAAUCGCGGAUGGUAUUCAUACUCAUCCUGCCGCAUUGCGUAUAGCUCAUAGGACACACCCAGAAGGACUUGUUUUGGUAACUGACGCAAUAUCAGCACUAGGAUUAGAGGAAGGCAUACACCAGUUAGGGCAAUUAGAUAUAGAAAUGCGGGCAGGUCGGGCAUACAUCGCUGGAACAAAUACUUUAUGCGGUAGUACGGCAGAGAUGUCGAAAUGUGUUCGUCUCUUCAAAGAAGCAACGGACUGUUCGAUAGUGGAGGCUUUGGAAGCUGCGACUCUUCACCCAGCAAGGACUCUUGGCAUUGAGAAAACAAAAGGAGUCUUGAACUAUGGUGCAGACGCAGAUUUAGUAUUGUUAGACGACAAUUUGGACCUACUGUCUACGUGGAUAUCCGGUGAAUGCGUUUACAAAAAUAUAAAGCAGUCGAUUCUACUGAUGGAUGGUUUCUACGCUAAGUGCCGAAAAUAAUUGUCCGUUCAAAAUUGUCUUCGAUGGAAUACGUUUGAGAAGAGAGGCCUGCACAGGUGACGAUACAUCGGAGAUGGUUAUCGCGAACGUAUCGCCUUGGCUCCCUUAUUCGGAACUCUUGAUUUCACAACCCACGCACCCCAACGAUCUUGGUAGUGAUCCUCGACACUGGACAUUCGACCUUGCCGCGUCCUAAGCCCGGAGUAAUAGCCAGCUAAAAUUAGGGACUCACGUUCUCGCGCAUAAUGACGAGAAAGCGACUGCGAGGCCUGCUUCCGCUUCUGACCAUGCUCUUAGAUUUUUAUAAAUCCUAGGUAAAAUCUUAAUUUUAGCAUUAAACCAAAGAGAAUGCUGUCAGAAAAUGCAUCGAAUGUACUUCCAAUGUUACCAUGUCCUUCUGAUUAGCAUUUUCAAAAAGUACAUUUCUAUAUGUCCCUCGACCAUCAAAAGAUUAAAAACGGUGUAGUUUUUUGUUUGUAGUUUGAACGGAUAUGAAGACAGUACAAGAAAAUUUUCAAGCUUGUAACAGUGACAUUCUAAAUAGGCAUCUAUUACCUUCGAAUCCGCUAACGAGUAGUUUCCGACUUAGAGCACAAAGCAAGCUCGUUUUAAAUGGACCAACACGAACAUUUGUCCCCAAUUGGAUACAACAUUUUCCACUAAAAUGAAAUGUACUUCGACGCGGUCAGCUUUCUGGGAGCCAUCCGAUCCGCUAUGCGUCAGUACAGCGAGGAGGACUCGUAUUAAUUCAUCCAGUCACACUGUCGGGAGCGCAGCGGCGUUCCGAACACUGUCGGACAUUUAAUCGUGCCCCACUCUUGCCACGCUGACAUCACGAUGUGGAGAACCGGUCCGCAGAGCGGCUCAUUGAGUCGUGAGAUAACUUGAAAUGUAUAACCAAGUCGAAUCGUUCCAUUAUCGAGUAGGAAGGUGAUCGAUGGUAAAAUCCGAAAUUUCUUGUCCGUCAUUCCAGAGAUUCUGUCGAUCAUAUAGAUCACUGAAUAUUUGCUAGAUACGAUCCGUGCAACAAGUUGAUCGUGCACGUAUCGAUUUGAUAGUAUGUAAUUAGAAAUAAUUUUGGAUAUUCUUCGCAUUUCCUUUAACAUUUCAAUACAGGCGUUCCAUUAAUCCCGAGAUUGUUUCACGACGAUGAACUUGCCAAGCCGAUUUGCAAUUAGAUAUCAUAUCUAAUCAUCAUCUAAUCAAUUAUCUAAUCAUUAUUUCAACGUU